CAUCUCUCGCUCUCUCCAGAACCCUCUCCUCCUGCCUCCUCCGCACCUAGAGCAAGAGAGCAGCAGCAGCAGGAGGAGCUGAGGAACAGCUAGCAAUAACCCGUCACUGAAUCGGGCGCGCCGGCGCGGGAAAGGGACGCCAAGAUUUGAAGACGAUUCCGAGGGACGUACAGUGCUGCAGUUUAGAUUGCUACUUGUGCGUUAAGCUGCUACUUGUGCGUUAAGCUAAUCACUUGUGGCAAGAGGCAGGGAUUACGAGGUUUCAGUUUCAGCGGCCAAAAUUGUUUGCACUAUGCUAUGUACUUCAAUUUAACUUAACCCGGGUACUACUGUGGCUCUGAGCAUCGAAGUAAGAGCGAAGAGUAAGGAGGGGGGAAAAGAUGUGCCAGAUCUGCUGCCUGGGGAAACAGUAUUCAUUGUUUCAAGAGAUACGGUUCAGAAAUAUUGGGUGGAACCUUCGCCUGCAUGCAUGACUCCACGAUCUCAAUGUUGGUAGAGGAACUGAAAUGUUUCUUCUCCCUUGGUCGGUCUCCCCACUGUUAAAAAUGCACAGAAAGAUCCUAGUUUCUAGGUCAGUAAUUUACAUUUUCCACAACUCUGAACCUGUGUUGUCUGCAAGAAGCUUAGCUGUUAAGGGUCAUGUAACUUCCCGGCUGGCUCAGGAAUUGUUCGGGCUUGAAUUUAGUUUUUCCUUAUUUUAGGUGUGAACCAAAAUGGAUUUUAUGAAUGCAAAAUAUGAUAAACUACUCCUUUGCUGCAUGUAUGUAAUAUGACCAUGUAAUAUGAUAAACUACUCCUUUGCUCACUGUCUUCCGAACCUCGCGAGUUGACUGCUCACUGGUCAGUGGUUGCAGCCGUAGUUUUUCUGAGUAAUCAGCCUGUUUGAGUCCUUGUCAGUGGUAAGGCUCAACGCUUUCAGCGUUGCACGGCCAAUUUGUUGUAUGUCCCGUUUCUUCAUUUCUUCGUAAUAUAAUGACACUCCAAUGUUUGGCACGUUCCAGGAACAACAACAUAAGUAUAAUCUAUCCAACUUCACCUCCCAUCUGAUGCGCACUUAAGCCAGGCUUGCUGUUUACUGCAUUUUGAACUGAAGGAUGCACUUGGUGCAACCUUCAUGUAGCACAAGGUUUUGUAGCCCUGUGAAAUCGAUAAUCUACUUAAAUGUUUCUUUGUAAACCAUGCCUCUUGCAUGAUACUUACCAUGUUGUUCCCUUUCUUCCAUUGCGCAUACGGUAUGAUGAUGCCUUCUGUUCGCACAUCUAGUUUGUAACAACACCCUCCUUCCCUGUAUCAGUAACUUUUCCCGUGCUAAAUUCUGCAGUUUCAAUGUCUGGCAAGUACAUUAUCGCUGGUCUUGUUGGCUCCUUUGCCAUUGCGUAUGCUUCGGACGUCAUAGUGGCACAGAAGAA